rnacentral:SRP_RNA from 1 species
CGCCGGGCCCUACGCAAUCGUUACCCGCGAACCCCGUCAGGCCCGGAAGGGAGCAGCGGCAGUGGAGCUUUCGAUGUGCGUAGCAAGCCCGGCGCCU